AUUGAACGCUGGCGGCAGGCCUUACACAUGCAAGUCGAACGAGUGGCGGACGGGUGAGUAAUGUAUGGGAAACUGCCUGAUGGCGGGGGAUAACUACUCGAAACGGUAGCUAAUACCGCAUACCAUCAGAUGUGCCCAUAUGGGAUUAGCUAGUUGGUGGGGUAACGGCUCACCAAGGCGACGAUCCCUAGCUGGUCUGAGAGGAUGACCAGCCACACUGGAACUGAGACACGGCCCAGACUCCUACGGGAGGCAGCAGUGGGGAAUAUUGGACAAUGGGCGAAAGCCUGAUGCAGCCAUGCCGCGUGUAUGAAGAAGGCCUUCGGGUUGUAAAGUACUUUCAGCGGGGAGGCGGUACCUGCAGAAGAAGCACCGGCUAACUACGUGCCAGCAGCCGCGGUAAUUC
rnacentral:rRNA from 1 species